rnacentral:rRNA from 1 species
CCUACGGGAGGCAGCAGUGAGGAAUAUUGGUCAAUGGACGAGAGUCUGAACCAGCCAAGUAGCGUGAAGGAUGACUGCCCUAUGGGUUGUAAACUUCUUUUAUAUGGGAAUAAAAUGUUCCACGUGUGGGAUUUUGUAUGUACCAUAUGAAUAAGGAUCGGCUAACUCCGUGCCAGCAGCCGCGGUAAUACGGAGGAUCCGAGCGUUAUCUGGAUUUAUUGGGUUUAAAGGGAGAGUAGGUGGAUUGUUAAGUCAGUUGUGAAAGUUUGCGGCUCAACCGUAAAAUUGCAGUUGAAACUGGCAGUCGUGAGUACAGUAGAGGUGGGCGGAAUUCGUGGUGUAGCGGUGAAAUGCUUAGAUAUCACGAAGAACUCCGAUUGCGAAGGCAGCUCACUGGACUGCAACUGACACUGAGGCUCGAAAGUGUGGGUAUCAAACAGGAUUAGAUACCCCAGUAGUC